rnacentral:tRNA from 1 species
GGAGAGGUACCGAAGUGGCCAAACGGGGCGGUCUGUAAAACCGUUGGGUCUCCCUUCGGAGGUUCGAAUCCUCCCCUCUCCACCA